GACGAACGCUGGCGGCGUGCUUAACACAUGCAAGUCGGGCGGAAAGGCCCUUUCGGGGGUACUCGAGCGGCGAACGGGUGAGUAACACGUGAGUAAUCUGCCCCUGGCUUUGGGAUAGCCACCGGAAACGGUGAUUAAUACCGGAUACGACCACUUCUCGCAUGGGAUGGUGGUGGAAAGUUUUUCGGCCAGGGAUGUGCUCGCGGCCUAUCAGCUUGAUGGUGAGGUAAUGGCUCACCAUGGCUUCGACGGGUAGCCGGCCUGAGAGGGUGACCGGUCACACUGGGACUGAGACACGGCCCAGACUCCUACGGGAGGCAGCAGUGGGGAAUAUUGGACAAUGGGCGGAAGCCUGAUCCAGCUACGCCGCGUGAGGGAUGACGGCCUUCGGGUUGUAAACCUCUUUCAGCAGGGACGAAGCGCAAGUGACGGUACCUGCAGAAGAAGCACCGGCCAACUACGUGCCAGCAGCCGCCGUAA
rnacentral:rRNA from 1 species